UGCGGGGUCGUCUAACGGCAGGACAGUAGCCUUUGAAGCUAUUUAUCGGGGUUCGAAUCCCUGCCCCGCAG
rnacentral:tRNA from 1 species